UACAGAGGUCUCAAGCGUUGUUCGGAUUCAUUGGGCGUAAAGGGUGCGUAGGUGGCGGGGUAAGUCAGGUGUGAAAUCUCGGAGCUCAACUCCGAAACUGCACUUGAUACUGCCUUGCUCGAGUACUGGAGAGGAGAUUGGAAUUUACGGUGUAGCAGUGAAAUGCGUAGAGGUGUGGAGGAACACCGAUGGCGAAGGCAGCCCCCUGGGUCGACACUGACGCUCAUGCACGAAAGCGUGGGGAGCAAACAGG
rnacentral:rRNA from 1 species